rnacentral:rRNA from 1 species
UUUCCAGACUCCUACGGGAGGCAGCAGUGGGGAAUAUUGCACAAUGGGGGAAACCCUGAUGCAGCAACGCCGCGUGAGUGAAGAAGUCAUUCGUGCUGUAAAGCUCUAUCAGCAGGGAAGAAAAUGACGGUACCUGACUAAGAAGCCCCGGCUAACUACGUGCCAGCAGCCGCGGUAAUACGUAGGGGGCAAGCGUUAUCCGGAUUCACUGGGUGUAAAGGGAGCGUAGACGGCCAUGCAAGCCUGGAGUGAAAGCCCGGGGCCCAACCCCGGGACUGCUCUGGGAACUGUGCGGCUGGAGUGUCGGAGAGGCAGGCGGAAUUCCUAGUGUAGCGGUGAAAUGCGUAGAUAUUAGGAGGAACACCAGUGGCGAAGGCGGCCUGCUGGACGAUGACUGACGUUGAGGCUCGAAAGCGUGGGGAGCAAACAGGAUUAGAUACCCCAGUAC